GAAUUGUAAUUUGAAGAAGCGUUUUCCGCGUCUCGGUUGGCCCAAAUCCUUUGGGAUGAGGUAUCAUGGAGGGUGAGAAUCCCGUUCGGUUGACCUCAUGACGCUCUACGAUACGCUUUCUAAGAGUCGAGUUGUUUGGGAUUGCAGCUCAAAAUGGGAGGUAAAUUUCUCCUAAGGCUAAAUAUCGGCGAGAGACCGAUAGCGAACAAGUACCGUGAGGGAAAGAUGAAAAGAACUUUGAAAAGAGAGUAAAAUAGUACGUGAAAUUGUUGAAAGGGAAACGAUUGAAGUCAGUCGUACCGACGAGAAAUCAACUUAUCGUGUGCGAACUUGUGGGCGUGCGUGAGUUUCGGCCUCGCUGUUUGCAUGUUUGUGCGCUUUGGGUGUACUUUUUCGUAUGGUAGGCCAACGUCAGUUUCGAUUACUAUAAAAUGACCGGCGGAAUCUAGCUUCGAUCUCGGUUGAAGUGUUAUAGCCUCUGGUAGAUGUGGUGAUUGGGACUGAGGAUUGCAACGAAUAUCCUUUGGGCUAUCCGUCUGAUCUCUGAAAGUUGCUCAGGUGCCGAAAGCGUGCUU
rnacentral:rRNA from 1 species